rnacentral:rRNA from 1 species
ACUCAAAGGAAUUGACGGGGGCCCGCACAAGCGGAGGAACAUGUGGUUUAAUUCGAUGAUACGCGAGGAACCUUACCCGGGCUUGAAUUGCAGAGGAAGGAUUUGGAGACAAUGACGCCCUUCGGGGCCUCUGUGAAGGUGCUGCAUGGUUGUCGUCAGCUCGUGCCGUGAGGUGUCGGCUUAAGUGCCAUAACGAGCGCAACCCCUCUCCUUAGUUGCCAUCAGGUCAAGCUGGGCACUCUGGGGACACUGCCACCGUAAGGUGUGAGGAAGGUGGGGAUGACGUCAAAUCAGCACGGCCCUUACGUCCGGGGCUACACACGUGUUACAAUGGCAGGUACAGAGAGACGGUCCCUUGCAAAAUGGAUCAAAUCCUUAAAGCCUGUCUCAGUUCGGACUGGGGUCUGCAACCCGACCCCACGAAGCUGGAUUCGCUAGUAAUCGCGCAUCAGCCAUGGCGCGGUGAAUACGUUCCCGGGCCUUGUACACACCGCCCGUCAAGCCAUGAAAGCCGGGGGCGCCUAAAGUCCGUGACCGUAAGGAGCGGCCUAGGGCGAAACUGGUAAUUGGGGCUAAGUCGUAACAAGGUAGCCGUACCGGAAGGUGCGGCUGGAACACCUCCUUU